rnacentral:rRNA from 1 species
GAUGAACGCUGGCGGCGUGCCUAAUACAUGCAAGUCGAGCGAACGGACGAGAAGCUUGUUUCUCUGAUGUUAGCGGCGGACGGGUGAGUAACACGUGGAUAACCUACCUAUAAGACUGGGAUAACUUCGGGAAACCGGAGCUAAUACCGGAUAAUAUUUUGAACCGCAUGGUUCAAAAGUGAAAGACGGUCUUGCUGUCACUUAUAGAUGGAUCCGCGCUGCAUUAGCUAGUUGGUAAGGUAACGGCUUACCAAGGCAACGAUGCAUAGCCGACCUGAGAGGGUGAUCGGCCACACCGGAACUGAGACACGGUCCAGACUCCUACGGGAGGCAGCAGUAGGGAAUCUUGCGCAAUGGGCGAAAGCCUGACGGAGCAACGCCGCGUGAGUGAUGAAGGUCUUCGGAUCGUAAAACUCUGUUAUUAGGGAAGAACAUAUGUGGAAGUAACUGCGCAUAUCUUGACGGUACCUAAUCAGAAAGCCACGGCUAACUACGUG